CCUACGGGGUGCUGCAGUGGGGAAUAUUGGACAUUGGGCGAAAGCCUGAUCCAGCCAUGCCGCGUGUGUGAAGAAGGCCUUCGGGUUGUAAAGCACUUUCAGUGGGGAAGAAAGCCUUGGGGCUAAUACCCUCGAGGAAGGACAUCACCCACAGAAGAAGCACCGGCUAACUCCGUGCCAGCAGCCGCGGUAAUACGGAGGGUGCGAGCGUUAAUCGGAAUUACUGGGCGUAAAGCGCGCGUAGGCGGUCUGAUAAGCCGGUUGUGAAAGCCCCGGGCUCAACCUGGGAACGGCAUCCGGAACUGUCAGGCUAGAGUGCAGGAGAGGAAGGUAGAAUUCCCGGUGUAGCGGUGAAAUGCGUAGAGAUCGGGAGGAAUACCAGUGGCGAAGGCGGCCUUCUGGACUGACACUGACGCUGAGGUGCGAAAGCGUGGGUAGCAAACAGGAUUAGAUACCCGAGUAGUC
rnacentral:rRNA from 1 species